rnacentral:rRNA from 1 species
CCUACGGGAGGCAGCAGUGAGGAAUAUUGGUCAAUGGGCGCGAGCCUGAACCAGCCAAGCAGCGUGAAGGAUGACUGCUCUAUGGGUUGUAAACUUCUUUUGUACAAGGAUAAACCUAGAUACGUGUGCUUUGCUGAAUGUACUUUACGAAUAAGGAUCGGCUAACUCCGUGCCAGCAGCCGCGGUAAUACGGAGGAUCCGAGCGUUAUCCGGAUUUAUUGGGUUUAAAGGGUGCGUAGGUGGGUUGUUAAGUUAGUGGUGAAAUGUUCGGGCUUAACUCGAGAACUGCAUUUGAUACUGGCAGUCUUGAGUGCAGAUGAGGUAGGCGGAAUUCAUGGUGUAGCGGUGAAAUGCUUAGAUAUCACGCAGAACACCGAUUGCGAAGGCAGCUUACUAAACU